rnacentral:lncRNA from 1 species
GGGCGCAGCCCUAUCUAGGUCCACAGAUUCCAGUUUUGACCAAGCUUUCUUGGUGGUGCCUACAGAAAAGCAAAAAUCUCACUAUUAGCAAGGCUCAUUAGUCAUUUUGUGUUUCACAAGAAACUGGUUGGACCACUUUGACUUCAUCAGCUUUGACAAGUAUUCAGCUAUAGUAUACUGGAGUGUAUACUCCAGUGACUUGUUUUGCUUUCGCAAGACUUUGAGGGCUUUCCUCUUGGCUGCCAGCUCGUCAUCAACUUCUUGCUGUAUAUCUAUUGGUUACCUUUUCUUUGUCGGAGGACGACGAAUUGUCAUCAUUUGAGUCCCGAGACGACUCAUCAUCGUCAGCGACAGGCUCCUCAGUCACAGUCACAUCAGCAACAACAUCAGCAACCGGUGCAGAUAGUGACGACGAGGUGCUUCUUGACAAUGAAGUGUAUGACGAUGACGGGAGCAAAGAGAUAUCGUACGAAAACUAUCUCAAGAUAAGGAAAAAUGCGGAAUAGCUAGCGGAUACGAGGUAAGUUCUUUAGUUUAUCGAUAGUGUAGGAUUUGAACAAAUUGGAUUCAUUAAAAGAAAUAUCGUAUAUCGUUAUGAUUCAUUUACGUAAUAUAUAUUAAGAAUGUAUCGUUACAACAUUGAAAUGUCUGAUUGGGUGGUGAACCAUUAAGCAAUUACCAUAACAUUAAGCCAUGACUAUUAAGAAAAACGUUCACUAAAAAAUACAUUAUGGCAACUCAAUAGCAAAUCAAACUUCGUUCUACUACAAUAACAAUUUCAGCAAUCAUCAAUAUAUUUCUUUGGGAUUAAUUGUAGAAAUGUAUAACAAAAUAGUAUAAGAUGUCGAAAACGAAAGUGGGCCAUCCAUUUUUUCAUAAAAACUACGAAAACUACACCUCGUUUGACAAUGGAAUAAAGUGUCAGGAAUAUUUUCGUAAUUUACUACAACACAAAUAGUUCCGAAAAAUUACUCUUGCUUUUGAGUUUUUUCCCUGGAAAAGUCUUUUAAUAAACCGACCCACAUCUUCAUAUAUGAAAACGCAGAAUAUACCCAUGGAGCACCACAGUUUUUAGUUUCCUCAAAUACAUUAAAUGUGUAUUAACGCUAUAACUAAAAUGUUCUAGGCCUAAAGUUCUGGAUUUAAUGCAAUACCCUUAUUAGCUGCACAUUCUCAACUUGGCCUACUGUUGAGGUCUUUUGUACUAAUAAUAUCAUAGCACUUGCAAAAAGCAUCAACUGUUAAAAUACACUGAAGGAAGCAAUUUCUUUAAGGCAACUGCAGAGUGAAAAUGAGGAAAUUUCUGUAUUCAGUAGCUUUCCAGUCACCAAGGAAGGAUUUUUGAAUGUAAUACUAACAAGGUUGGCCGGGGUUCCUAACCAAAAAUUGAUGAACUGGGAAACCACACAAAAACACGCAUUGCAUAAUGUAUGCAAUCUAACCAGUGAUAACAGUUAGAAAAGACAAAAAAAAACUAUUUUCGUUACCUUUAUUAGCUGCACUGGUCAUGCCAAAAUGUUGAUUCUUGUGUUCUUUUCAGGCAUAGGAUACAAAAAGGGAAACAACAUCGCCCAUCCAGGACCCUUUUCGGCAGUUGCUCGCUUAAUCAAGUAAUAAACGCAUCCGUAAAAGCAUUGAACUGCUUGAUGUUUCACAGCAUUGCCCGGGCAGGUGCACAAACUAUUGCAAGAGGGAAAAUAAUUUUUGAUAAACGAGUGAUGCCAAUAUUCGAUGUUCAUU